rnacentral:rRNA from 1 species
GACGAACGCUGGCGGCGUGCCUAAUACAUGCAAGUAGAACGCACAGUUUAUACCGUAGCUUGCCACACCAUAGACUGUGAGUUGCGAACGGGUGAGUAACGCGUAGGUAACCUGCCUGGUAGCGGGGGAUAACUAUUGGAAACGAUAGCUAAUACCGCAUAAUAUUAAUUAUUGCAUGAUAAUUAAUUGAAAGGUGCAAUUGCACCACUACCAGAUGGACCUGCGUUGUAUUAGCUAGUAGGUGAGGUAACGGCUCACCUAGGCGACGAUACAUAGCCGACCUGAGAGGGUGAUCGGCCACACUGGGACUGAGACACGGCCCAGACUCCUACGGGUGGCAGCAGUAGGGAAUCUUCGGCAAUGGACGAAAGUCUGACCGAGCAACGCCGCGUGAGUGAAGAAGGGUUUCGGAUCGUAAAGCUCUGUUGUAAGAGAAGAACGGGUGUGAGAGUGGAAAGUUCACACUGUGACGGUAUCUUACCAGAAAGGGACGGCUAACUACGUG